AAUACUCUGGGGGCUAUGGCUUGAACACAAGAGAUUUUGGGUGUGCACACAUUUAAGCCAUAACGCCAGCCCCAGCCCCUCCUCAGCUGCCUGACUGUUGCUGCCCUUCGCCUCCCCAGAACCUCAUUCUGCGUCUUCAGUCAGUUGUGGAAGUUUUUCCUGUUUGGAGCCGUGGAUUGUCAGCUCUCCGACUCCAGUGCAUAGAUUGUGCCUCUGUCUCUUCACCUAAUUUGGGGCCUAAAUACACCGGCCGGCUCGCAGCAAGUGCCAGAGCCUUCCGUGUGCGCAGGAGGCCCGAGACUUCCGCCGCCGCCCUCGGGAGCCCCGGGGGUCCGAGCCUGAGGACUCGGUUGGGCUCUGCGACCGUCCGGACACCGCCAGGCCGCGCGGCUCCGCUGGGCGCGAAGCCUCGCCCACGCCCCGCCCCACCCUGACGCCCGCGGCCCCGCCCGACGCACGUCCCGCUCCCCGCGCGCGCUCGAGCCGGUGCGCCGUUGGCUGUUCGCGCGGCUUGGGCGGUUGUCUUGGAGAAGCAAGAUGGCUGCGACGGCGGCCGCGGUGGCUGCCGAGGAGGACACGGAGCUCCGCUGAACUCCGGGCAGCUGUGUUUUUAGCACUCGAGGAGCAAGAAAAAGUGGAGAACAAAACUCCCUUAGUCAAUGAGAGCCUGAAAAAAUUUUUAAAAACAAAAGAUGGUCGUUUAGUGGCAAGUCUUGUAGCAGAAUUUCUUCAGUUUUUUAACCUUGACUUUACCUUGGCUGUUUUUCAACCUGAAACUAGCACAUUUCAAGGUCUUGAAGGGCGAGAGAAUCUAGCCCGAGAUUUAGGUAUCAUUGAAGCAGAAGGCACUGUGGGUGGACCUUUACUAUUAGAAGUGAUCAGACGCUGUCAACAGAAAGAGAAAGGGCCUGCCAGUGGGGAAGGUGCUUUGGAUCUAUGUGAUGUACAUUCUCCACCAAAGUCACCGGAAGGAAAAACAAGUACACAGUCAACCCCUAGUAAGAUACCAAGGUAUAAAGGACAAGGUAAGAAGAAGACAAGCGUGCAGAAGUCUGGUGACAAGAAGGCCAACAGUGAGACCAGUCAGAGUGAUACAGCUGUCUCCUCAUCAGAAUCAAAGAACAAAAGCAGUCUGCACUCACUGACCCAUGAAACAAAAAUUGGAUCUUUUUUAAGCUCUACCACUUUAGAUGUCAAAGACAAAGCUGGCCUUUGUCCAGGUGAAGAUGAUAUGGAAGGAGAUUCUUUCUUUGAUGAUCCCAUUCCUAAACCAGAAAAAACCUAUGGUUGGAGAAGUGAACCUAGGAAGCAAGCAGGAAGUCUGGCCUCGCUCUCAGAUGCUCCCCCCUUAAGGAGUGGACUCACUUCCCUGGCAGGAGCCCCCUCAUUAAAAGAGCCUGAGAGUAAAAGGGGAAGCACAGUUUUGAAAGAUCUGAAAUUAGUCAAUGAUAAAAUUGGAUCACUUGGAUUAGGGACUGGAGAAGAAGACUAUGUUGAUGACUUUAAUAGUGCCACCCAUCGCUCAGAAAAAAGUGAGCUAAGUAUUGGUGAAGAGAUUGAAGAAGAUCUUUCUGUGGGAGUAGAUGACAUCAACAGCAGUGACAAAGGGCUCCUGCUGCUUUCCUGAAUGAGUUGGGCUUACACAGGUGCUGUGAUUGUCACACUGGGAGAGCUUUGGAGAGUUCACAUUUUAGAAUGAAGAAACAGUUGGAGUCAGCAUAAUCUUGAUGACCUCACGCAAGACCUCACUGUUUCCCAGCUCAGUGACAUUGCGGAUUAUCUGGAAGAUGUGGCGUAGACAAGAAGAGGAAGUAUUCUGAUUAACAAAGAACUGAUCAACUCCAUGUUUUUUUUUUUUCUGACAAUCUAUCUUUGCUGGAAAGUCUGCACUCUGUCCGUGCCUUGCAUUGCAAAAAGACUGCAGAUUUUUUAAAAAGUAACUUUCCAUUUUACUAAACAGAAUGUGUCCUGUA